AUUGAACGCUGGCGGCAUGCUUUACACAUGCAAGUCGAACGGCAGCGCGGGCUUCGGCCUGGCUGCGAGUGGCGAACGGGUGAGUAAUGCAUCGGAACGUGCCCAUGAGUGGGGGAUAGCCCGGCGAAAGCCGGAUUAAUACCACAAACGACCUGAGGGGGAAAGCGGGGGACCGAAAGGCCUCGGGCUCUUGGAGCGGCCGAUGUCGGAUUAGCUAGUUGGUGGGGUAAAGGCUUACCAAGGCGACGAUCCGUAGCUGGUCUGAGAGGAUGACCAGCCACACUGGAACUGAGACACGGCCCAGACUCCUACGGGAGGCAGCAGUGGGGAAUUUUGGACAAUGGGGGCAACCCUGAUCCAGCCAUGCCGCGUGUGGGAAGAAGGCCUUCGGGUUGUAAAGCGCUUUUGUCCGGGAAGAAAUCCUUUGGGCUAAUACCUCGGGGGGAUGACGGUACCGGAAGAAUAAGCACCGGCUAACUACGUG
rnacentral:rRNA from 1 species